UAAGUACAGGAGGUCUAUCUCCAAAAGAACUUCUGAGCCACCCAUGCUCCUGACCCUUCCACCUCAAACUCCGUGUUCUUCACACUAGGGACCUGAAAAUUUAAGCCCACAAUGGGAUGAGAUAAUGUCUCAGCAAAUUCACCUCCUAAACUCCUAUUAGAAAGGAAAUACGCCUAAAGGCCAUCUAAACCACACACAAGACGGAUGACUUACAUUUGCCUCAGAUCCUUCAUGCAAGUUAGUACAAUUCAUAUACUCAAUCAAUCACUUCAAUUCCAAUCAAACCAUCGAUCAAUUAAUCAAUUAGCUCAAGUCCAUACCAAUAGUACUAUCUAUCCAUUCAAUACCAUAUAUCCAUCCUCUAAUACUACCACUACUCACAACAGUCGCAAUAUAUGGUUUUAGCUCACUCAAAUUGAUAUAUAGAUAGAUAGCUCACUCAAGCUGAUAAUCAUAUAGAUCGUGCUCAUUCAAGCUGAUAAAACAAUCUUAGUAAAACGAUCAUAUAUAUAUCGUGCUCACUCAAGCUGAUAAAACACCACUUUGAAAAUACUUGAUAAAAUAGUCGUGUGUGGAUACACGAUUGGCCUGAGCCAAAACUUCAAUAUCUUUCUUUUAGAAAUUCUCACUAGUCAUAAUAAUCCGUAAACACAUUUUUGGUGCUGUAGACCGACGCCCGGUAUUUUCCAAUUAAAUACCAAAAUUCCUCAAUUUUGGAAUAAAUACCCAAAAUUAUAAUUCUCACCCAAUUUGCACAAUCUAGCAUUCAAUUAAAUAAACCAAACACACCAUUAAAAUCAGCACAAGAUUCCGAUCACCGGCUAUCUCGGUAUAAUUUCCAGAAAAUAAUAAAUAAUUAAAUAAUUACCAAAAUUAAUUAAAUAAAUACAAUUAAAUGCCAUAAAUAGAACUUAGGCCGGAAAAGCCUAAUUAAAUACCAAAACGGACCUAGAAAAUUUCUGAACCAAUCUAGAUAAAUAUUACAGCUUAUCUAGUCUCUAAUUAUGUUACUCUAACCACUUAACAUGCAUAAAUGAAUAAUUAAAUUGCUAAUCUGUUCUAACUAACCACAUAAUUCAUACUUAGCCUAAACUAAUCAACUCUUAAGUAUAAUUAAUUCCCUAAGCGAAGAUUAGUGAGUAAACUUGCUGGAAUAAUGAGCCGACGAGUUUGCGAUGGCGGCCGAAACUCAGGCUUACGGCAGUGCCAACGGAGGCUUAGAUAGGGCCGAAAAUGGCCAAGGAAGCUCACGGUUGAGCUGGUCUUGCUGCUUCGGUUCGGUGGGAGUGAAAACGGCGACUGAACGGGCACGACUUGGGGUUGGUCUUGGCAGUUGCAGGUGGUGGAGAUGGGCCACGAUGGAGCAGCAGAUUCGGUCGAAGAUGGGCACUGAUGGAGUCAACUUCGGGGGAGGUGUAACUGGUGGUUGACUCGGUGGGGAUACGUGGACGAAGGGGAAAACAGGGUAGUCGGUGGGGUUGGGACAGCAGGUGGUAGUGCAGCAAGGGGGAAAGAGAGGGGUUCGGUGGUGCUGGCAAAGGGAUGAAGACGCUGGCAGCAAAAUGGAGGGUGCUCUGUUACAAAGAAAAGGAAGAAAUGGAGGAGCUGGAACCGCGAAGAAGGAGGAGUCGUCGAAGCUGGCGUGCGCGGGAGAGAAACAGAAGAAGGGAGAAGGGAUAAGGGAGCAGGGAAUGUCGGC
rnacentral:lncRNA from 1 species